rnacentral:rRNA from 1 species
GGGUUGUGAGGUUAAGCGACUAAGCGUACACGGUGGAUGCCCUGGCAGUCAGAGGCGAUGAAGGACGUGCUAAUCUGCGAUAAGCGCCGGUAAGGUGAUAUGAACCGUUAUAACCGGCGAUUUCCGAAUGGGGAAACCCAGUGUGACUCGUCACACUAUCAUUAACUGAAUCCAUAGGUUAAUGAGGCGAACCGGGGGAACUGAAACAUCUAAGUACCCCGAGGAAAAGAAAUCAACCGAGAUUCCCCCAGUAGCGGCGAGCGAACGGGGAGGAGCCCAGAGCCUGAAUCAGCAUGUGUGUUAGUGGAAGCGUCUGGAAAGGCGCGCGAUACAGGGUGACAGCCCCGUACACAAAAGCGCAUGUGCUGUGAGCUCGAUGAGUAGGGCGGGACACGUGGUAUCCUGUCUGAAUAUGGGGGGACCAUCCUCCAAGGCUAAAUACUCCUGACUGACCGAUAGUGAACCAGUACCGUGAGGGAAAGGCGAAAAGAACCCCGGCGAGGGGAGUGAAAAAGAACCUGAAACCGUGUACGUACAAGCAGUGGGAGCCCCACCACUAAGCCAGUGGUGAACUCCACAUACGCAUCCUUUGCUGAGGAUACGGUUAACGGAGCGCAAGCGACGUUCAACCGCAAAAGAAGCAGAGGGGGCUUAGUGGUGGGGUGACUGCGUACCUUUUGUAUAAUGGGUCAGCGACUUAUAUUCUGUAGCAAGGUUAACCGAAUAGGGGAGCCGGAGGGAAACCGAGUCUUAAUUGGGCGUUAAGUUGCAGGGUAUAGACCCGAAACCCGGUGAUCUAGCCAUGGGCAGGUUGAAGGUUGGGUAACACUAACUGGAGGACCGAACCGACUAAUGUUGAAAAAUUAGCGGAUGACCUGUGGCUGGGGGUGAAAGGCCAAUCAAACCGGGAGAUAGCUGGUUCUCCCCGAAAGCUAUUUAGGUAGCGCCUCGUGAAUUCAUCUCCGGGGGUAGAGCACUGUUUCGGCUAGGGGGCCAUCCCGGCUUACCAACCCGAUGCAAACUGCGAAUACCGGAGAAUGUUAUCACGGGAGACACACGGCGGGUGCUAACGUCCGUCGUGAAGAGGGAAACAACCCAGACCGCCAGCUAAGGUCCCAAAGUCAUGGUUAAGUGGGAAACGAUGUGGGAAGGCCCAGACAGCCAGGAUGUUGGCUUAGAAGCAGCCAUCAUUUAAAGAAAGCGUAAUAGCUCACUGGUCGAGUCGGCCUGCGCGGAAGAUGUAACGGGGCUAAACCAUGCACCGAAGCUGCGGCAGCGACACUAUGUGUUGUUGGGUAGGGGAGCGUUCUGUAAGCCUGUGAAGGUGGCCUGUGAGGGUUGCUGGAGGUAUCAGAAGUGCGAAUGCUGACAUAAGUAACGAUAAAGCGGGUGAAAAGCCCGCUCGCCGGAAGACCAAGGGUUCCUGUCCAACGUUAAUCGGGGCAGGGUGAGUCGACCCCUAAGGCGAGGCCGAAAGGCGUAGUCGAUGGGAAACGGGUUAAUAUUCCCGUACUUGGUGUUACUGCGAAGGGGGGACGGAGAAGGCUAUGUUGGCCGGGCGACGGUUGUCCCGGUUUAAGCGUGUAGGUGUGUGUUCCAGGUAAAUCCGGUUCACUUUAACACUGAGGCGUGACGACGAGGCACUACGGUGCUGAAGCAACAAAUGCCCUGCUUCCAGGAAAAGCCUCUAAGCAUCAGGUAACAUCAAAUCGUACCCCAAACCGACACAGGUGGUCAGGUAGAGAAUACCAAGGCGCUUGAGAGAACUCGGGUGAAGGAACUAGGCAAAAUGGUGCCGUAACUUCGGGAGAAGGCACGCUGACACGUAGGUGAAGUGAUUUACUCAUGGAGCUGAAGUCAGUCGAAGAUACCAGCUGGCUGCAACUGUUUAUUAAAAACACAGCACUGUGCAAACACGAAAGUGGACGUAUACGGUGUGACGCCUGCCCGGUGCCGGAAGGUUAAUUGAUGGGGUCAGCGCAAGCGAAGCUCCUGAUCGAAGCCCCGGUAAACGGCGGCCGUAACUAUAACGGUCCUAAGGUAGCGAAAUUCCUUGUCGGGUAAGUUCCGACCUGCACGAAUGGCGUAAUGAUGGCCAGGCUGUCUCCACCCGAGACUCAGUGAAAUUGAACUCGCUGUGAAGAUGCAGUGUACCCGCGGCAAGACGGAAAGACCCCGUGAACCUUUACUAUAGCUUGACACUGAACAUUGAGCCUUGAUGUGUAGGAUAGGUGGGAGGCUUUGAAGUGUGGACGCCAGUCUGCAUGGAGCCGACCUUGAAAUACCACCCUUUAAUGUUUGAUGUUCUAACGUGGACCCGUGAUCCGGGUUGCGGACAGUGUCUGGUGGGUAGUUUGACUGGGGCGGUCUCCUCCUAAAGAGUAACGGAGGAGCACGAAGGUUGGCUAAUCCUGGUCGGACAUCAGGAGGUUAGUGCAAUGGCAUAAGCCAGCUUGACUGCGAGCGUGACGGCGCGAGCAGGUGCGAAAGCAGGUCAUAGUGAUCCGGUGGUUCUGAAUGGAAGGGCCAUCGCUCAACGGAUAAAAGGUACUCCGGGGAUAACAGGCUGAUACCGCCCAAGAGUUCAUAUCGACGGCGGUGUUUGGCACCUCGAUGUCGGCUCAUCACAUCCUGGGGCUGAAGUAGGUCCCAAGGGUAUGGCUGUUCGCCAUUUAAAGUGGUACGCGAGCUGGGUUUAGAACGUCGUGAGACAGUUCGGUCCCUAUCUGCCGUGGGCGCUGGAGAACUGAGGGGGGCUGCUCCUAGUACGAGAGGACCGGAGUGGACGCAUCACUGGUGUUCGGGUUGUCAUGCCAAUGGCACUGCCCGGUAGCUAAAUGCGGAAGAGAUAAGUGCUGAAAGCAUCUAAGCACGAAACUUGCCCCGAGAUGAGUUCUCCCUGAGACUUAGAGUCUCCUGAAGGAACGUUGAAGACGACGACGUUGAUAGGCCGGGUGUGUAAGCGCAGCGAUGCGUUGAGCUAACCGGUACUAAUGAACCGUGAGGCUUAACCUUACAACGCCGAAG